AAAACGGUUUGAACCAGCUUUUUUGUGUUGAUACUGAUUUCCAAUUCCUCGUUUUGAUCUGGGCUAUGUCUCCUUGUUUCCAGCUCUUUCUUUGUUAAUAACCCUUAAACACCCACCCACCUACCCAUGGAAGUAUGCUGUCUCUCUGUGUCUCUGUUUGGUGCUACGAACAAUAUUUCGGCGACUUACGGUGAUAUCAAAGUGCAGCAACUUACAUAACAUGAGGCAUGGUGCUGUUUACCGUUGCAGGCCUGUUUAGCAUUUGCCGCUUGGCAGGGCCAGCUGAAAACAUCUUG